UGGUUCCGGGGCCCUCCUGGGCUCAGCCGCGCGUCCAGCACUGGGGAGCAGCCUCCAGGCCUCGGAUCGCGCGGGAGCGGAGCGGUGUCCGGCGCUGCCGCCCAACGGGGGCGGUCCCCAAGCUGGCCGAGAAGCAGACAGCCGGGCCUUCCCUCCGUGCGCUUUACGAAAGCGUCUCAGCUCUUCCGUCAGGACCCGAGCACGCAUUCCUCCCGGAAUCCGGGAGCCGCCUCUCCCGUGGCGUUCUCCGUCCUGCCGGGGAGGCCCUGUCGGUGUUUAAUGCCCGCCAGCGGUGCCGCUUUGCAGAAUCCCGAGGCCGAUCUCCGACGUCUGACCAGGCGCAGCCGUGUGGCUGUGCGCUCCCGGUGGACACCUGGAGCUGGGAGCGGUUUUCUCCCCGUCCCAGGCCAUACGCAGGCCUCCUCUGCCAGCCCCGCUGCCACUCCAAAGACCCGGGCUGUUGACCGAGAUGUCUUCCCUUUCUUCAAAGGAGUCCAAGGCUCCUGCCACCUGUCUGGGUCCAACCUCCACGCAAGACCCAUGCAGUGGCGACAGGGAUGAUCUGGAAAGCGAAUGCUCCAGGACACCACAUCAGAAGCUGCUGGGGGCCUAUGCGGUGGGCGAUCCCACUGCCAUGGUCUCCUGUGACAGCCCCUUCUUGUCCUCUCGAGGCAAAGUCAUUAAGUGGUUCUGGGACUCCGCUGAGGAAGGUUACAGGACCUACCGCAUGGAUGCAUACGAUGAGGACAAGAACCCCAACGGCAUCAUUAACUUGGGCACCAGUGAGAACAAGCUCUGCUUUGACCUAUUGUCCAGGCGGCUGACUCAGAGUGACAUGCUGCGGGUGGAGCCGGCACUGCUGCAAUAUGCUGACUGGAGGGGACACCUGUUCCUCCGGGAGGAAGUGGCCAAGUUCCUGUCUUUCUAUUGCAAGAGUCCGGUACCCCUCAAACCAGAGAAUGUGGUCGUUCUGAAUGGUUGUGCCUCUCUCUUCUCUGCCAUGGCCACGGUGCUGUGUGAAGUAGGGGAAGCAUUCCUGAUCCCCGCCCCUUACUACGGAGCCAUCACCCAGCACGUCUAUCUGAGUGGUAACGUCCGACUGGUCUGUGUCUACCUGGACAGUGAGGUCACUGGGCCAGGCACCCGCCCUUUCCAGCUCACAGUGGAGAAGCUAGAGGUGGCCCUGCAAGGAGCCAUUUCUGAGGGUGUGAAAGUCAAAGGCCUCAUCCUCAUCAAUCCCCAGAACCCGCUGGGUGACGUCUAUUCCCCAGCAGAGCUGCGAGAGUACCUGGAGUUUGCCAAGAGGCAUGAGCUGCACGUGAUCAUGGAUGAGGUCUACAUGUUAUCCGUGUUUGAUGAGGCAGUGGAGUACCGCAGUGUCCUGAGCCUGGAAAGCCUGCCUGACCCCCAGAGGACACAUGUGAUGUGGGCUACCAGCAAGGACUUUGGGAUGUCUGGGCUUCGCUUCGGCACGCUCUACACAGAAAACCAGGACGUGGCCACUGCUGUGGCCUCCCUCUGCCGCCAUUAUUGCCUUAGCGGCAUGGUCCAGCACCAGGUGGCACAGCUGCUCCGGGACCACGACUGGAUCAGCCAAGUAUAUGUGCCAGAAAACCAUGCCCGGCUCAAGGCUGCCCACGCCUACAUCUCUGAGGAGCUCCGUGCUCUGGGGGUCCCUUUUCUGAACCGUGGGGCCGGCCUCUUCAUCUGGAUCAACUUGCAGAAGUACCUGCCGCAGGCCACCUUCGAAGAAGAAAGGUUGCUGGGUCGCUGCUUUUUGGACAACAAGGUGCUGCUGUCCCCCGGUAACGCUUUCCAGUGUAAAGAGCCAGGCUGGUUCCGCAUUGUGUUCUCCGACAAGGCCCACCGGCUCCGUCUGGGGAUGCAGAGGGUCCGGCAGGUGCUUGAAGGCAGAUCCCCAGUGGCAAAAGACCCACUUCCAUCCCCACCACCUCCAUCCUGGACCGAGGAACCCAGAGACCAGCACAGGUGACCUGGUCCCUGCCUCCUAAGCAGCCACUGCAUCUGACCCGGGACCUGGUGUGGCUGCAGGUGACUGGCUUCCCAGGAAGUUGUUCAGCUCAGUUUUACCUGUGGGGACCUGAGUCUCAAAGAGAUGGCAUGAUGCCAUCUAUGACAGCCACACAGAAGCAUCUCAGAACUGGGAUUCAAAGUCAGCUGCUCUUGCCACACUCCCCCCACCAGCUCCAGCAGCCUCCCACUACCUCCAGUCCUGAGAACCAGCUCUGCGUUGUCCCACCAUAAUCUUCCAUCUCAUAAAUAUUCAUUUUGUUUGAAAGAGAGACAGAGAUCUUCCAUCCCCUCGUUUACUCCCCAAAAUGCUCACAGCAGCCAGGGCUGGGCCAGGCUGACCCAGGAGCCUGGAGCUCAAGUCCACUCUCCCCUGUGGGUGGCAGGGGUUGAAGUACUUGAGCCGUCAUCAGCUGUCUCCCAGGGUGUAUAGCAGCAGGAAGCUGGAAUCAGAUGUGAACCCACGCACUAGACUGAUGUGGGUAUCCAACGUGUUAGCUUAACCACUGUACCAAGUGCCCACUUGACCUUUAGUUGUUUCGAAUGUCAUUGGUUAUAGGGAACACUACCUUUCUAUUCCUGAUUCUGAAAAAUGCUGGUGUCAGGAUUAGUUGUGUUGCAAUGGGUUAAGUCUGCACCCUGUUAUCCCAGCAUUCAUGUGAACAUUGAUUUGAGUCCCACCUGCUCUGCUUCUGAUCCAACUCCCUACUAAUAUGCCCAAGUGAGAAGCAGAGGAUGGCACAAGUGUUUAGGCUGCAUAUGGGAAACCCUGAAGGAGCUCCUGAGCUGCUGGCUUUAGCCUAGCCCAACCUUGGCUGUUAUGGCCAUUUGGGGAAUGAUCCAGCGGGUGGAACAUCAACUCUCCCUCUUUAACUCUGCAUUGCAGAUAAUAAAUAACUUUUUAAAAAGACGUAUUUGUUUUAAUUUAAA